rnacentral:lncRNA from 1 species
GUAUACCAGAACCACUUGGUGGACACUCCGGAAUCAUCUGCCUUACAUGCCAGACCCAGCUCUCAGUCACACCAGAACCACGUGCCAGAGACGCCGGAAGCACCUGCUGAGCAUGCCUGAGCCACCUGCUCGACUCGCAAGAAACACCUGUCGGACAUGCCCAAAUCACCUGCCGGGUACGCCAGAAACACCUGGCGGACACUCCGGAAUCACCUGUCAGGCAUGCCGGAACCACCUCUCAGACUUGCCAGAACCAGGUUCCGGACACGCCGGUACCACCUGCCUAGUAUGCCGGAACCAGCUGAUCCACUCCCCAGAACCACCUACUGGAAACGCCAAAAUCAACUGCCGGCUACAUCAGAACCACUCGGAAGACACUCCGGAACCACCUGGCGGCAUGUCGGAACCACCUCUCAGAGGUGCCAGAACCACAUGCCGGACACUCCGUAAUCACCUGCCGGGCAUGCCGGAGCCAUCUCUCAGACGUGCCACAACCACGUGCCGGAGAGACCGGAAGCACCUGCUGAGCUCGCCGGAACCACCUGCUCGACUUACCAGAGCCACCUGCCGGACACACCAGAAACACAUGCAGGGUACGCCAGAACCACUUGGAGGACUCUCCGGAAUCACCUGCCGGGCAUGCCGGAACCACCUCUCAGACGUGCCACAACCACGUGCCAGAGAGACCGGAAGCACCUGCCGAGCUCGCCGGAACCACCUUGUGGACAUGCCGGAACCACCUGCCUCACAGGCCAAAAUCAUAUGCCGGCUAUGCCAAAACCACUUGGUGGACACUCCAGAAUCACCUUGCGGGCAUGCCGGAACCACGUCAUGGACAGACGGCAAACACCUGCCGGACCUGCCGGAACCACCUGCCGAGCACGCCGGAACCACCUGCUCAACUCACCAGAGCCAAGUGCCGGACACACCAGAAACACCAACGGGGUACGCCAGAACCACUUGAAGGACACUCCGGGAUCACCUGCCGGGCGUGCCGGAACCACCUCUCAGACGUGCCAGAAGCAUGUGAGAGACACGCCGGGACCACCUGCCGAGUAUGCCGGAACCACCUGCUCCACUCCCCAGAACCACCUGCUGGACACGCCAAAAUCACCUGCCGGCUACGCCAGAACCACUCUGCAGACACUCCGGAAUCACAUGCCAGGCAUCUGGAACCACCUCUCAGAGGUGCCAGAACCACGUGCCGGAGAAUCCGGAAUCACCUGCCGGGCAUGCCGGAACCACCUCUCAGACGUGGUAGACACGCCGGAACCACCUGCCGAGUAUGCCAGAACCACCUGCUCCACUCCCCAGAACCAUCUGCUGGACACGCCAAAAUCACCUGCCGGCUACGCCAGAACCACUUGGCGAACACUCCGGAAUCACCUGCCGGGCAUGCCAGCACAACCUCUCAGAAGUGCCAGAAGCACGUGCCGGACAGGCCGGAACCAUCUCCCGGACAGACCGGAAACACAGGAAACAUUCGCCGGAACCACCGGGUUGACUCACCGGUCCGACCUGCCGGACACGCCAAAAUCGCCUGCCCGCUACACCAGAACCGCUUGGCGGACAAGCCGGAAUCACGUGAAGUGCAUGCCGACACAACCUCUCAGACGUGCCAGAACCUGGUGCCAGACAGCCCAGAACCACCUGCUGGACAGACCGGAACCACCUGCUGGACACGCCGGAACCACCGGAUCAACUCGCCGGAACCAUUGCCGGACAUGCAAAAUCACCUGCCGGCUAUGCCAGAACCACUUGGCGAGCACUCCAUAAUCACCUGCUGGUCAUGGCGGAACCACCUCUGAGACAUGCCGGAACCACAUGGCAAUGACACCAGAAGCACCUGCCGAGCACGCCAGAACCACCUGCUCGACUCGCCAAGACGACCUUCUGGACAUGCCAGAAUCACCUGCCGGCUACGCCAGAACCACUCGGCAGACAAUCCGGAACCACCUGCCGGGCAUGCCGGAACCACCUCUCAGAGGUGCCAGAACCACAUGCCGGAGACUCCGGAAUCACCUGCCGGGCAUGCCGGAACCAUCUCUCAGACGUGCCACAACCACGUGCCGGAGACACCGGAACCACCUGCCGAGCUCGCCGGAACCACCUGCUGGACAUGCCGGAACCUCCUGCCUGACAGGCCAAAAUCAUAUGCUGGCUACGCCAAAACCACUUGGUGGACACUCCAGAAUCACCUUGUGGGCAUGCAAGAACCACGUCAUGGACAGACGGCAAACACCUGCCGGACCUGCCAGAACCACCUGCCGAGCACGCUGGAACCAACUGCUCGACGCACCAGAGCCACCUGCCGGACACUCCAGAAACACAUGCAGGGUACGCCAGAACCACUUCGAGGACUCUCCGGGAACAACUGCCGGGCAUGCCGGAACCACCUCUCAGAUGUGCCAGAACCAUGUGCCGGACACGCCGGAAACACAUGCCGAGUAUGCUGGAACCACCUAAUACACUCAUCAGAACAACCUGCUGCACAUUCCAAAAUCACCUGCCGGCUACGCCAGAAUCACUCGGCAUACACUGCGGAACCACCUCCAGGACAGACCGGAACCACCUGCCUGACACGCCGGGACCAACUGCGUGACUCGCCAGAACCACCUGCCAGAAACGCCAAAAUCACCUGCCGUCUACGCCAGAACCACUUGGCGGACACUCCAGAAUCACCUGCCGGGCAUGCCAGCACAACCUCUCAGAAGUGCCAGAAGCAUGUGCCGGACAGGCCGGAACCAUCUCCCGGAGAGCCCGGAAACACAGGAAACACUUUCCAGAACCACCUACUUGACUCAACGGUCCCACCUGCCAGACACGCCAAAAUCACCUGCCCGCUACACCAGAACCACUUGGCGGACAAGCCGUAAUCACGUGAAGGGCAUGCCGACACAACCUCUCAGACGUGCCAGAACCUCGUGCCGAAGACCCCAGAAAAACCUGCCGAACAGACUGGAACCACUGGCUCGACUCGCCGGAACCACCACCGGACAUGCAAAAUCACCUGCCGGCUACGCCAGAACCACUUGGCAAACACUCUGGAAUCACCUGCCGGGCAUGCCGGAACCACCUCUCAGACAUGCCAGAACCACAUGCCAAUGACACCGGAAGCACCUGAGGAGCACGCCGGAACCACCUGCUUGACUCGCCAGAACCACCUGCCGGACACGCCAAAAUCACCUUCCGUCUAUGCCACAAUCAGUUGGUGAACACUUCGGAAUCAACUGACGGGCUUGCUGUAACCACCUGCCGGUCACGCCAACAUCACCUGCCAGCUAUGCCAGAACCACUUGGCAGAAACUCCGGAAACACCUGUCGGGCCGGCCGGAACCACCUCUCUGACGUGCCAGAAACAUGUGCCUGAGAUGCCGGAACCACACCCCGAACAGACCAAAACCACCUGCCAGACCCGGCUGAGCCACCUGCCGAGCACGCUGGAACCACCUGCUCGACUCGCUGGAACCACCUACCUGACACGCCAAAAUCAUAUGCAGGCUACGCCACAACCACUUGUCGGACACUCCGGAAUCACCUGCCGGGCAUGCAGGAACCUCCUCUCAGACGUACCAGAACUGCAUGCCGGACAUGCUGGAACCACGUCCUGGACAGACUGGAACCACCUGCCGGACACGCCUUGACAACCUGCAGAUCACGCCGGAAGCACCUGCUUGACUCGCAGGACCCACCUGCCGGACACACCAAAAUGAACUGCUGGCUACACC